rnacentral:rRNA from 1 species
UACGGGAGGCAGCAGUGGGGAAUAUUGCACAAUGGGCGCAAGCCUGAUGCAGCCAUGCCGCGUGUAUGAAGAAGGCCUUCGGGUUGUAAAGUACUUUCAGUCGUGAGGAAGGUGUUAAGGUUAAUAACCUUAGCAAUUGACGUUAGCGACAGAAGAAGCACCGGCUAACUCCGUGCCAGCAGCCGCGGUAAUACGGAGGGUGCGAGCGUUAAUCGGAAUUACUGGGCGUAAAGGGCACGCAGGCGGUUAAUUAAGUUGGAUGUGAAAUCCCCGGGCUUAACCUGGGAAUGGCAUUCAAGACUGGUUAGCUAGAGUCUUGUAGAGGGGGUAGAAUUCCAUGUGUAGCGGUGAAUGCGUAGAGAUGUGGAGGAAUACCGGUGGCGAAGGCGGCCCCGUGGACAAAGACUGACGCUCAUGUGCGAAGCGUGGGGAGCAAACGAGGGAUUAGAUACC